UUUGUUGUUGUUUUCUGUUUAUUUCUGCCCAGGUUUAUUUUUUCUUCCUUCAUCCUAUUUUAUUUAACUUGUAUUUCUUUUUCUAACUUGCUAAAAUGAACAUUUAGAUAAUUGCUUUGCAACUUAUUUUCUAAUAAGUCACAUGCCAAAUUAUGAUAUUACAAAAUGACAGGUCACAUAUACAACAACACUAGUCACAUAAGAUUAUAUCACCUAGGUGUGUCAUGGACAACUUAGUGUGAGUACAUUCUGCUGUUCACACAAGGAAAUUGCCUAGCAAUGCAUUCUGUCAUUAAGCAAUGGAUGACUACUAGCAUUUAAAGCUACAGCUUUCCCUUUGAGGAUUCUUUAGCUGCAUCCCACAUAUUUUGCU
rnacentral:lncRNA from 1 species